rnacentral:tRNA from 1 species
GCCUGGGUGGCUCAGUUGGUUGAGCGUCCGACUUCAGCUCAGGUCACGAUCUCACGGUUCGUGAGUUCGAGCCCCAUGUCAGGCU